rnacentral:rRNA from 1 species
UACGUAGGGCGCAAGCGUUGUCCGGAAUUAUUGGGCGUAAAGAGCUCGUAGGCGGCUUGUCACGUCGGGUGUGAAAGCCCGGGGCUUAACCCCCGGGUCUGCAUUCGAUACGGGCUGGCUAGAGUGUGGUAGGGGAGAUCGGAAUUCCUGGUGUAGCGGUGAAAUGCGCAGAUAUCAGGAGGAACACCGGUGGCGAAGGCGGAUCUCUGGGCCAUAACUGACGCUGAGAAGCGAAAAGCAUGGGGGAGCGAACAGG